rnacentral:rRNA from 1 species
GUCGAGCGGUAACAUUUCUAGCUUGCUAGAAGAUGACGAGCGGCGGACGGGUGAGUAAUGCUUGGGAAUAUGCCUUAUGGUGGGGGACAACAGUUGGAAACGACUGCUAAUACCGCAUAAUGUCUACGGACCAAAGGGGGGGAUCUUCGGACCUCUCGCCAUUUGAUUAGCCCAAGUGAGAUUAGCUAGUUGGUGAGGUAAUCGCUCACCAAGGCGACGAUCUCUAGCUGGUUUGAGAGGAUGAUCAGCCACACUGGGACUGAGACACGGCCCAGACUCCUACGGGAGGCAGCAGUGGGGAAUAUUGCACAAUGGGCGCAAGCCUGAUGCAGCCAUGCCGCGUGUGUGAAGAAGGCCUUCGGGUUGUAAAGCACUUUCAGUAAGGAGGAAAGGGAUGUAGUUAAUAACUGCAUUCUGUGACGUUACUUACAGAAGAAGCACCGGCUAACUUCGUGCCAGCAGCCGCGGUAAUACGAGGGGUGCAAGCGUUAAUCGGAAUUACUGGGCGUAAAGCGUUCGUAGGCGGUUGAUUAAGCAAGAUGUGAAAGCCCAGGGCUCAACCUUGGAACUGCAUUUUGAACUGGUCAACUAGAGUACUGUAGAGGGUGGUGGAAUUCCCAGUG